CCUACGGGUGGCAGCAGUGAGGAAUAUUGGUCAAUGGGCGCGAGCCUGAACCAGCCAAGUCGCGUGAGGGAAGACGGUCCUAUGGAUUGUAAACCUCUUUUGUCGGGGAGCAAAAGACGCCACGCGUGGCGUUCCGAGAGUACCCGAAGAAAAAGCAUCGGCUAACUCCGUGCCAGCAGCCGCGGUAAUACGGAGGAUGCGAGCGUUAUCUGGAUUUAUUGGGUUUAACGGGUGCGCAGGCGGAAGAUGAAGUCAGCGGUAAAAUUGAGAGGCUCAACCUCUUCGAGCCGUUGAAACUGGUUGUCUUGAGUGAGUGAGAAGUAUGCAGAAUGCGAGGUGUAGCGGUGAAAUGCAUAGAUAUCACGCAGAACUCCGAGUGCGAAGGCAGCAUACCGGCGCUCAACUGACGCUCAUGCACGAAAGUGUGGGUAUCGAACAGGAUUAGAUACCCCAGUAGUC
rnacentral:rRNA from 1 species